rnacentral:rRNA from 1 species
CCAAUAGCGUAUAUUAAAGUUGUUGCAGUUAAAAAGCUCGUAGUUGGAUUUCGGGAUCAAUAUGUCGGUCGUGCCUUCGGUACGUACUGGCAUCAUUGAUUUCUCCCUUUUGACGAACCACGAUGUCAUUAAUUUGGUGUCAUGGGGAGUCAGGACUGUUACUUUGAAAAAAUUAGAGUGUUUAAAGCAGGCUCACGCUUGAAUACAUUAGCAUGGAAUAAUGAAAUAGGACGUUUGACCCUAUUUUGUUGGUUUCUAGGAUCAACGUAAUGAUUAAUAGUGAUAGUUGGGGGCAUUAGUAUUAAAUUGUCAGAGGUGAAAUUCUUGGAUUUAUUGAAGACUAACUACUGCGAAAGCAUUUGCCAAGGAUGUUUUCAUUAAUCAAGAAAGAAAGUUAGGAGAUCGAAGACGAUCAGAUACCGUCGUAGUCUUAACCAUAAACUAUGCCGACUAGGGAUCGGAUGAUGUUAAUUUUUUAAUGACUCAUUCGGCGCCUUACG